GCUGCAAGUUGUUCUAUCAGUAUUGCUGCAAGUUGACAUUUGCAGACUUCAUGCAAGUUGUUUCAUCAACUUGCAUCAAGUCUGCAAAUGUCAACUUGCAGCAAGCCUGAUUUCAACAGGCUUGCUGCAAGUUGAUGACGUCGACAAGCCUGCUGCAAUUUGUUAACUUGCAGCAGGCCGGUAAAAUCCGCAACUUGCAGCAAGUCUGUGGCGUUUCUGGCUGUGUAACCUAGUUUAAUUAAAACCAGAAUAGUGCGCGAAAAUAUGUCUAUUUUAAAGCCUGAACGGUCUGUACCAAUGUAGGCAGUGACAAUAAUAAGAAAGCUUCAGAUUGAUAGGGAAUAUUGUCAUAUUGAUGCAAUUACUUGAAAAACUACACACGUAAAAAUCUCACAACUUGUCAACAAGAUGUGUUCGCAACGGGCUUGUAGCAAACUUGUCAACAGGUUGUGACAAUGCUGUUAUUUUAUCAAGUUGCUACAAGCUUGUCACUCACAACUUGUUGACAAGUUGUUGAAUUGCAGGGCGAUAACAAGUUGUUGGAACAACUUGUAACAAGUCUGUUGAGUUCAACAACCUUGUAGCGAGUUACCAACAAGCCGUUGACAACUUGUCAACAAGCUGGGAACAAGCAGUGCGAACACAUCCUGUUGACAAGUUGUUGGAACAGCAUUGUUACAACCCUGCUGCAGAUUUGUUACAACUUGUGCGUUUUUACGUGUGUACAAGUAGCCAAACUUCUAACCUCCCGACGAAGGACGUUGCCGCCUUGGCUCGAAACGUCGAAGUUCUCCUUGUAUUUUACAGGUACACACGUAAAAACGCACAAGUUGUAACAAACCUGCAGCAGACUUGUAGCAAUGCUGUUCCAACAACUUGUCAUCAAGAUGUGUUCGCAUUGCUUGUUCCCAGCUUGUUGACAAGUUGUCAACGGCUUGUUGGCAACUUGCUACAAGUUUGUUGAGCUCAACAGACUUGUUACAAGUUGUUCCAACAACUUGUUAUCGUCCUACAAUUCAACAAUUUGUCAACGAGUUGUGAGUGACAAUCUUGUAGCAACUUGAUAAAAUAACCGCAUUUGUUACAACUUGUUGACAAGCUUGCUACAAGCCCGUUGCGAACACAUCUUGUUGACAAGUUGUGAGAUUUUUACGUGUGUAGUUGUAUCAAUCUGUAACUUUCCUAUUGCAAAACAUUUACUUAUCUUAUAUUAACCGAACAGUUUCAGAGUCAUGUCGACCGACUUUAAUUUUGACGUCGCCACGUUUGGUGUAAUGAACUUGAAUACGUUCCGGCGUCCGAAGACCAGGUUUACGAUCCGACGCUAGUUGUGGGUUGCGAGCCAAGGUAAGGGCAAGGAACCAUCUGGCACGGGCUUGAGCUGAACGUGACCAUUUUGACCCUGUGUUCUUAUG
rnacentral:lncRNA from 1 species